CGGGACAAGAUUGAUUAUCCCCCGGCCUGACCCUGUCAAAGCCCCGAAAUACAUCUUCUGACAGCCGAGGGGGCCACACAUUUCACACACGGACCCCGUUUGGUCUGAUUCUGGGGUCAGAAAUGUUGUGAAGGGCUUAGUUAGAAAGAGCGAGAGCGAAGUGCCAUAACAGGCUAACCAGUGACCAGUCCGGACCAGUGUUAUGGUUCACAGAGUUACCGAUUUUAAACAUACACACAAAACAACUCAAACGAAAUAUACCCCGCACACUACUUGAUAAGUGUUCAAAGGUCACUUUUGUAGUCUAAAAGUGGCUCGGCAAUGUUUACAAGGGAGUUGGGGAAGUGUUUUUAGAAGAGGGGGGAAGCCCGGGCGUGUAGAUUAUAAUGGGAUCGUGAAGGGAGAAACCGCGGGUCAUAAAUCUUACGGACGACAUGUAAUUGCGCGGUCCAUUCAUAGGCGCUGUCACACACACGCGCUGACUGCUGCCUACAUCGCACUAACGUUUCCACUCAGAAAUCUACUACAUUUCUACAACAGGCGGCUAGUUUACGGUGAAAUGUAGCCGUGGUUGUGUCGAGAGUGUUUCUAGAGACCGGAGGGCGGUGUUAUUGUGUACGGACAGGCCUGCUGUACUGCAUCGGAUCUCUGCAUAAUGAGCUGUGGUGGGAUAGAAGGAAGGGAGGGCGCCACAACGCCACACAGGCAGAGCAGGAAAAGAGAUCUGUGGACUGAACUGGUGGAUAUAAAACUUGGAAGUUGAGGAAGAGAAUGUAGGAAGAUAACAAAUGCACCGACGCCAGGAUAUGUCUCACCACCACCACAACAAUACUACAUUCUAUUGUAUUCCUAUCUGUUAAUUAUAGUGUAGAUUUCAAUCAAACCCCGAUACAGUAACCGCACGGGUUUACUGCUUUCCUAAACGUGUUUGCGGCGGUAAUUUUGGAGAAAUAAAAUAGAUGAUUACGAUCCCAUCUUUGGUAAUGAGCAUUUAUCGCCUAGAGAGUGCACAGACGGCCAGCUAGAAAACACACAUAUCGACCCGCUUUGCGCAGCAAAAUUGGGAAUAAACGAUUUUCGUAAGACCCACACUACUUCCUAGCUAAACCCUAUCGAUCAUUACUGGUUAAUUUCUGCACCUAAGGAUUUCAAUAAAACCAACAACUGUUCAAGCUUUGAGUACUUUCAAUUAAACGAGCAGCAUUUGCUGUCACAACGUGAA